AGGCAUCAGCCCAGUAAGCAGAUGCUUGGGGCUGCUAAGGGAGAGGGGCAGCGCGUCAGGCUCUUCGGCCUGCGAUAGCAGCUUUUUUUUAUUUUAUUUUUAUUUUUGCUACUUGGAGCAGCAAAAACUCUGGAGCCCGCCCUCACAGUUUGGAGUUUGUUUCUGAUCAGAAAUUCAUCAGGGAGAAGGGAGCAACACAGAAUUCUGCCUGUGGGUGUAACUGACUCACACUGAUUUAGGGCAACAGGUUUUUUGAACAGCGCCUGAAUCUGGCAGAUUAAACCCCCAGAAUUCCUUAGAAUUUCGCACCGUGUUUGAGAAACUUUUUCUAAGGAAUUAUUCGUGACCGUGCUGCAGCGUUUCUUGAGACCCGUCCCCAGGCGGCAGGAGUGACUGAUUUAGCGCCUGCGAGUCUCUUUGCCGGCCGGGACAGCGCUCCGGCUAUGCGCGCUCUGGGGGGUUCCGGCCUGCGGGCGCUGCUCUCAGGUCUGCCGUACCCCUCUCCCCCUCCCACCCCCCAGCGCUGGCUGCCAUUGGUCAGUGAGGGGAACAGGACCUGUCCCUGAAAAGGGGCGGGGGGAUGCACAGGAUGCGGAGGUGGCGGUUGGGAGCGUUCUGCGUUGCAGCGUGUGGUCGUCACCAACUCCAGCUCCUCCUUCACUAGAAGCCCUAUCCCCGGGCGCGCACGAAGGGUCCUCCUCUGCCACUGAAAUCAAGUAGCAUGCUUGAUUUCAUGGUGUUACGUCCUAG
rnacentral:lncRNA from 1 species